GGGCGAUUGGUUUAGUGGUAUAACGUCUGUUUUGCAGAAACGCUGCGUUUAUCCUCCAAGGAAAAAACUACAGAAGGUCGAGGUUUCGAUUACCUCAUCGUCCA
rfam:Tncinocarpus reesii 1704 scaffold_5 genomic scaffold, whole genome shotgun sequence.